rnacentral:rRNA from 1 species
AAUCAACGCUGGCGGCGUGCCUCAGACAUGCAAGUCGAACGCGAAAGUUUCCUUCGGGGAACAAGUAGAGUGGCGCACGGGUGAGUAACACGUAGGUAAUCUACCUUUGGAUGGGGAAUAACAACCGGAAACGGUUGCUAAUACCGCAUAAUGCAGCGGCACCUAAUGGUGACAGUUGUUAAAGCGGGGAUCGAAGACCUCGCGUCUGAAGAGGAGCCUGCGGCGGAUUAGCUAGUUGGUAAGGUAAUGGCUUACCAAGGCGACGAUCCGUAACCGGCCUGAGAGGGCGGUCGGUCACACUGGACACUGACAUACGGGUCAGACUCCUACGGAGGCAGCAGUCGGGAAUUUUGGGCAAUGGGCGAAAGCCUGACCCAGCAACGCCGCGUGAAGGAUGAAAUCCCUCGGGAUGUAAACUUCGCAAGAACGGGAAGAAUAAGCGAGAGUUAAUAUCUUUCGUGAUGACGGUACCG